UACGUAGGGGGCAAGCGUUGUCCGGAAUCAUUGGGCGUAAAGAGCGUGUAGGCGGUUUAGUAAGUCUGCUGUGAAAGUCCAGGGCUCAACCCUGGGAUGCCGGUGGAUACUGCUGGGCUAGAGUACGGAAGAGGCGAGUGGAAUUCCCGGUGUAGCGGUGAAAUGCGCAGAUAUCGGGAGGAACACCUAUUGCGAAGGCAGCUAACUACGCGAUUAUUGACGCUGAUGCACGAAAGCGUGGGGAUCAAACAGG
rnacentral:rRNA from 1 species